UACGGAGGGGGCUAGCGUUGUUCGGAAUUACUGGGCGUAAAGCGCACGUAGGCGGCUUUGUAAGUUAGAGGUGAAAGCCCGGAGCUCAACUCCGGAACUGCCAUUGAAACUGUAAAACUUGAGGACGAGAGAGGUGAGUGGAAUUCCCAGUGUAGAGGUGAAAUUCGUAGAUAUUGGGAAGAACACCGGUGGCGAAGGCGGCUCACUGGCUCGUAUCUGACGCCCAGGCGCGACAGCGUGGGGAUCAAACAGG
rnacentral:rRNA from 1 species